UAUCCACUGAACAGACAAGGGGGGUAAGCUUGUGAUGCUUGUGUAACAUUUGUGAAAUGCACAAAUGUCCAGCUUUGUACAUGUCCAUUGGUCGUAUACUUUAAUCAAAACACUAGUAUUUAAAAAAACAUGAAUUAACAAAAAUGGACAUCCUUGAAUAAGUAUGAUGAAUUAAGCUUCAAAGAGUGAGCAUGCAUUUGCGCACACCAGAUAAACUGUAAAAUGUAGAAAGAAGUUGACUUAUUCUUGCAGUCUACAACCAAAUGGUUUUCAAAGGCAUGGUAAUUUUUAUAGAACAGUAUUUACAGACCGGCGUGCGAUGACUGGUUGUAAAGACCAGGAAGUAAUGUGAAUAAAGAGGACCUAACAAAGAGGCCUGCCUCGACUAAAUAAGUUACAUGAAAAGCAUUUGAGGCAAACAACAUAAAGCCCUGAAUGCUCUCGAACAACCUAAAUGCAAAACUGAAUCAUUAUAAAAGUAGUACAGUGAGGGAGGAAAGUACAUUUUUAACACCAUUUCCAAGCUCGUAAGGUAAAUAACUGGGACGCGCUUCAUUAAUAUCUCUCCAGAACAGCUGUUUGGAUUAAACAAACACAGAUAUUAUUACAGGCUUCUGCCAAUAAUAAAAGUAAAACCUAAACAGAUCU